rnacentral:rRNA from 1 species
GAUGAACGCUGGCGGCGUGCCUAAUACAUGCAAGUCGAGCGAACAGACGAGGAGCUUGCUCCUCUGACGUUAGCGGCGGACGGGUGAGUAACACGUGGAUAACCUACCUAUAAGACUGGGAUAACUUCGGGAAACCGGAGCUAAUACCGGAUAAUAUAUUGAACCGCAUGGUUCAAUAGUGAAAGACGGUUUUGCUGUCACUUAUAGAUGGAUCCGCGCCGCAUUAGCUAGUUGGUAAGGUAACGGCUUACCAAGGCAACGAUGCGUAGCCGACCUGAGAGGGUGAUCGGCCAAACUGGAACUGAGACACGGUCCAGACUCCUACGGGAGGCAGCAGUAGGGAAUCUUCCGCAAUGGGCGAAAGCCUGACGGAGCAACGCCGCGUGAGUGAGGAAGGUCUUCGGAUCGUAAAACUCUGUUAUUAGGGAAGAACAAAUGUGUAAGUAACUAUGCACGUCUUGACGGUACCUAAUCAGAAAGCCACGGCUAACUACGUG